GACGAACGCUGGCGGCGUGCCUGACACAUGCAAGUCGGACGGUUCUUGCGCCUUCAAGCUUGCUUGUUGGUUCGAGGAUAGUGGCGGAACGGGUGAGUAACGCGUGAACACCUACCCAUUGGAGGGGUACAAUCCGUCGAAAGGCGGGCUAAUACCGCGUAAGCCGUGAGGUGAAAGGCUGCCUUUUGGUGGCUGCCGAUGGAUGGGUUCGCGUCCUAUCAGCUUGUUGGUGGGGUAAGGGCCUACCAAGGCUAAGACGGGUAGCCGGUCUGAGAGGAUGGCCGGCCACACUGGAACUGAGACACGGUCCAGACUCCUACGGGAGGCAGCAGUGGGGAAUAUUCCGCAAUGGACGAAAGUCUGACGGAGCAACGCCGCGUGAGUGAUGAAGGUUUUCGACGUGUAAAACUACUGUUGUUUAGGUACGAAAGUAGCCUGUUGUCAAAUAAGUUAGUCAGGUAUUGACGGUACUGAACGAGGAAGACACGGCUAACUACGUGCCAGCAGCCGCGGUAAACGAACCGAAG
rnacentral:rRNA from 1 species